rnacentral:rRNA from 1 species
GAUGAACGCUGGCGGCGUGCCUAAUACAUGCAAGUCGAGCGAACAGACGAGGAGCUUGCUCCUUUGACGUUAGCGGCGGACGGGUGAGUAACACGUGGAUAACCUACCUAUAAGACUGGGAUAACUUCGGGAAACCGGAGCUAAUACCGGAUAACAUGUUGAACCGCAUGGUUCAACAGUGAAAUACGGUCUUGCUGUCACUUAUAGAUGGAUCCGCGCCGCAUUAGCUAGUUGGUAAGGUAACGGCUUACCAAGGCAACGAUGCGUAGCCGACCUGAGAGGGUGAUCGGCCACACUGGAACUGAGACACGGACCAGACUCCUACGGGAGGGAGCAGUAGGGAAUCUUCCGCAAUGGGCGAAAGCCUGACGGAGCAACGCCGCGUGAGUGAAGAAGGUCUUGGGAUCGUAAAACUCUGUUAUUAGGGAAGAACAAAUGUGUAAGUAACUAUGCACGUCUUGACGGUACCUAAUCAGAAAGCCACGGCUAACUACGUG